AGUGUAUCAUCUUUCUUGCUGCCCUUGAAGAGUGGUGUCCAGUGAAUCUUUCAAAGAAUGAUACUGAGCUUCAUUGUUGAUGAACAAAAAUGCAAAUCUCACCCAGAGCAUGCAGGAACAUGUGAGCAAUAAUUCAUUUACUCAUCAUGUUAAAUUUAUCAUUCAGAAAACAGAUCUUCACACCAUGUCUUCUCUUGACCUUUGUAGGCUAUAAUCACUACACUCCUAGAAUGUGAUCUCUUUCAAUAUUGACUGCAUCCAUGCCUUCCACACACUUGCACCAGUUGGGAGGAUGGAGAUGUCAUCUGGGCAGAGGGAGAAGAGCAGUACCAUUCAGAGGUCUGUCCCUCUUAAGAUAUAUUCUCUCUGUCAACCUAGCAUUCAAUGAACGUCUUAGAAAGGUGAUGGUAAUGUCUAGACCAAACAAAAGAAGAAUAGGAAUCUGUUCAGAACUCAAAGGGCUGUGUGAAAAGUUUACUGUGGAAAAAAAAAUUGAAAAAACUGCCACUAAGUAGCAAUGGAAGGACUUUUCCCGCUAAGAUGAGGAACUGCUCAGAUCACCAGCUGCUUCAGGUUACCAGCCCACACCUGUCUGUCUCACCUCUGACAACUUUGGUAAGUUUUUCUGCCACUGGGACUGAUUAUUAGAGUUUCUAUAAAUAGGCAUGGUACAACAUCUCAGAAUAUUGACAAUAACAAUUAUUUUUCAAGAUUUUUAUUAAAGGUGCU
rnacentral:lncRNA from 1 species